GGGGUGGGAAGAGCAGCAGCGGAGGAAUCACUGCCCCUGCGACUUCUCCGAAAAUGGCUCCGUGUGUGUGUCCUGGGCAUGACAGACCUGGGCUCCGGCGCCCUCCCCGGACUUGGAGUGACCUGGGCGCUGACCCUGGGCAUUCUCACUUCCAGGGCCUCCAGGAAGCCGGUUGCCCGCUGGGAAGGAGGCCGGGCUGGGCAGCUGCAGGUCGAGGGCCCCGGAGAAAGGAAAGGCCGCGUGGGGACCCUGCGGGGACAGAUCUGUGAUCCCUCAUGUCCUGGGAGCCGGGCCCGGCCGCCAGGUGGGUGCAGCAGGUGACUCCUAGCUGAGCCUCGCCUGGAUUUCGAGCCCAGAAAAUCACGAGUACUGAUGGAAACCAAGGGAUAAGCAUUUGGAACAGUCUAGAGAGCCUUGGAAGUAGGAGUUUGGUUUGUUGUUGUUUUUAUUUGUUUUCCCUCCCUUGCUUUAUUUUUAUUAUGGUAAGGGCCUUCCUCCCAAACUGAAAAGUUAUACACGCCUACAUUUUACUAUUCCAUCAAGUGCUCCUUCCCACUGCACUUACUACCUUCCCUGAGUUGACUGUAUUUGAGGGGGAGAAAAAAGCCACAGCCAAAGCCACUUCAUAUGGCUGGGGGCUUGGGGAGCAGGAGGAAAACAAUCUUUAUUUCAUCCCAUCUACUGAAGACUAUUUACUACAUUUGAAAUAAAACUUCCAUCAAUACAAAAAAAUUGAAUAAAUAAAUAAAUAAAAUUAAAUUGAAAUCCCAAUAAAUUGAAAUCUUUGUAUUUUUUUUAAAACCCGGCAGGUGCGUGUGUUUACUUGACAUAAAUGACGCUCUGCCGGAAAUACAGUGCCAAUACAAGUAUUUUUAACUCAGCACAAUAUAUUCUAUGUAAUAUAUAUAACUAUAUUGUCACAACUAUGCAGUGAGCAUAUUUCCAGUUGCAGCUUUGUCUUGCCGUGUGUGAAGGUGCCGUGUUUAAUUCCCGCUCCCCUAGGGACAGACACCUAAGUUGUCUCCAACGCCAUGAGUCCCGUACAGUUUCUCAGGAUAAGGAAGCCAGGAGUGGAAAUGCUGGAUGGCUGCGUGGGCCGGGAAGAGAAUCAGCAUCACUGUGGAGUGAGGGGCCUCUGCCAGCCAAUCGUGCUGACAUGAAAACACACAAAACCGCCAUCCACAGAUGUGCACACACGCACGCCUCGCCAACACAGCUUCAGCUCAUUUGCAAAACCCAAAGCUGCUUGCAGGUGAGCUGGUGAACGAGAAGCAGGAAGAGGAAGCUCUUGAGGAAACAGUCAGCUCCGCCCCUGCGAGAAUGAGGCCGAACCCAAACCGCAGUGGAAAUGUCAGCACUGAGGAGGCGCAUCGCGGCUUGGCUUGUGGUGGACCCACUGCAUUUAUUGUAACUGGGUAACCCGAGUCUGUCCUGUCCCCAGUCCCCAGCACCACUGCCCCAUUCUAACAGGGUCAGCCAAGUUAAUUCUGCUAUGGAAAAGUGAAAGGAAAAGAGACACCAUAUUAAAGAAUCUUACCACAGUGAUAUAUGCACACCCAUGUUCAUAGCGGCACAGUGCAUAAUAGCUAAAGCUUGGAAACAGCCCAAGUGCCCGUCAACUGGAAACUAGAUAAAGAAGAUGUGGGUUUUUUUAUAAAAUGGAGUACUACUCAGCCAAAGGAAUGAGAAACUAGAGGCAUUUUAUAGCUAAAUGGAUGCAUAUUGAGGCCAUCCUCUUAAGUGAAAUAAAUAGGACACACACACGUGUAAAUACCGAAUCGUUUCUCUAGUGUGAGAAACUGAAACUGUAAUUAAGGAUUAAAAUGCUUAAAAUGAAUAAUGGAUAAUUUGAAAUAAGAAGAAAAGGUCCAAAGGGGUUGGGGAAGUAGGAGGGGUAAGGGAAAGGAAAAAUGAGAAAUGGAAAAAAUGGAAACAAAGUCUUUGUAAAUAGGGAAGGGUGGAGGGGUGCAGGGAGGACAGGGAAUGGGGAAAAAAUAAGAACCAAGAUGCAUCAUGCACAGGUACAAGCACCCAAUGAUAAAUGUAAAUGUAUUGUAUACCUAAAAUGUACCAAUAAAAGAAUUUAAGCAAAAAAAGACUAUAUUUACUACAAUAACAGAAGGAAAGCCCAGGAACUAAGGGUGUAUGAAGUUGAAAGAGAAAGCCGGAUCUGGGAGUCACACCCAUGCUCCCAGCAUUUGGGAGGCUGAGGCAGGAGGACUGUGUCAAGGUUGAGGCCAGCCUGGGCUGCAUAGUGAGACCCUGUUGAGAGAG
rnacentral:lncRNA from 1 species